rnacentral:rRNA from 1 species
AUUGAACGCUGGCGGCAUGCCUUACACAUGCAAGUCGAACGGCAGCACGGGAGCAAUCCUGGUGGCGAGUGGCGAACGGGUGAGUAAUAUAUCGGAACGUGCCCAGUCGUGGGGGAUAACGUAGCGAAAGCUACGCUAAUACCGCAUACGAUCUCUGGAUGAAAGCGGGGGAACGCAAGACCUCGCUCGCUUGGAACGGCCGCUAUCAGAUUAGGUAGUUGGUGGGGUAAAAGCUCACCAAGCCGACGAUCUGUAGCUGGUCUGAGAGGACGACCAGCCACACUGGGACUGAGACACGGCCCAGACUCCUACGGGAGGCAGCAGUGGGGAAUUUUGGACAAUGGGGGCAACCCUGAUCCAGCCAUUCCGCGUGAGUGAAGAAGGCCUUCGGGUUGUAAAGCUCUUUCGGCAGGAACGAAACGGCGAGCUCUAACAUAGCUUGCUAAUGACGAUACCUGAAGAAGAAGCACCGGCUAACUACGUGCCAGCAGCCGCGGUAACAC